AAAGAGCACAAGAAAGGCUUGGCCAUAUUACAUCUAAGUCCCAUUUCACAUAUUUUCCUUUUAUUUAAGGUAUCCUUUUUGGUGUUUACAGAACGAUGUCCUGCUGGGCACAGAAGCAGGAAGCAAGCCUGUCUCCUCUCAGCACCUGCUAACCGGGAACAAGAUGGAUUUGUAGACUGACUCACAUAACACAGUGGAAGUCCUUCAAUCAUUGCAUCCUUCCCUGAAGCAUCUGAUAACCAAGAUUUUACAUGAUGGAAC
rnacentral:lncRNA from 1 species